rnacentral:lncRNA from 1 species
UAAAUUUUCAAAUUCGAAUGUGAAAAUACAUUUUAAAACAUGCGGUAUGGCGGAUUUUGCAAACGUUCAUGUCGGUUCAUUGUCUCACUGCAUAGAACAAUGCUUAGAUAUAGAUGUUGAAUUCAUUCAGUCAACCCUCAGUCUAUGACUGAAUUCCACCUACAGUUAACUGGAGAAUAUUCACACUUGUCUAUGAUACAUAAUAAAUCAAUAUACACUGGCAUUGUUGGUACAACUCUAGAAGAAGGAACCACUUUACUAAUGAUUUUGCCUGUAAUCAAAAAUUUACUUAGGACUGAAUCAAAUUUUUUGUUGAAUGGCACAUUUUAAAGUUCACCAAGUUUUGGAAAUGAAUGCCACUAAUUUUAUAUAGCAAUGGGCAUAACAUUUAAUACUGGAUUUUCUAUAGGGCUUGCAUUUAUGUCAAAGAAAAUGAAAGGGCAUACACUACCUAAGCAUAGUACCAGAGUAGCAACUUCAAACUAUUAUAGUUGAUUUUGCUGUUAUAAGAACAAUGUUUCCAAAUACCACUAUUAGAAGAUAUUGGUUUAAUUCCUCCCAAGUGGUAUGGAGAAAAGUUGCAAACAUAUGAUUGAUUGAAAUAUGUAGUAACUAUCGAGGAGCCCAUGACAUUGUGCAUAUGUUGAUGGCAUUGCCUUGCCCGAAAAUGACAACAGGUUCGGUUGCAAAACUAGAGGUCCCGUGGACCUCUUGUAACCUUAUCAGUUACAGUGCUUUAAAUAGUGACUAGUGACUAAAACAUAAAGGUUUUCGAUAUUGCACAAACACGAGUUGCAAAAACUGCGCUCAUACGAAGAGCAUGCAAGUUGGCGUAACACACACAAAACAGCCCAAAAUACUUCUUGGACAGGAAAAUGGUCGGCGAGGAAAGAGAGAGAGAUGCAAGCGCGUCAACCAUGGACUAUGAUUAACAGGCCUAAUCAUGUCAGUUAAACAUUGAGUAUUUGAGUUGGCACUCGGCAAAUAAAAUUAUAAUUUUUUUAAGUUGGCUGCCAUUAAUGAAUAUUUCCUAUAUGGCAUUUGAGCAAUAUACAUAAUUAAUUAUGUAUAGUACCUGGUUGCAGGAUAGGCAGUAAACUAGGGUAGAUACCUAGAUACUUGUAAAUAUAUAUGAAUUAUAUUGAACUCAAUAUUUCUGUGAUCUAAUUUAAUAGUUAAAAUUCUCAAAACAGAAUGGUUUUCAACAUAAUAUAAAUUCCAAAACUUCUGAAAAUUUCCAACAUUUCUUUAAUAAUAUUAUACGAUUCUAUACCAUAAACGUUUAUAGUGGAAGAAUAAAUAAAAAAAAUGAUGAAAAUUAUUAUGCAGUUAUUUAAUUUUCUAAACGUAAAUCAGAAUAAGGAAUUUCAUUUGAUCUCUGUGAUAGUAUUUAGAUUAAGAUUAAAUUAGAUAUGUAUUGUUAUUUCGAAAUUUGAAUAUUAUACAAUUUAAAUAAUAUAAUAAUGGGAUGCGAAAAAAUUGUCUCCAAAAGACUGAGCUUUUGGGGAUACAAGAGUUGACAAUGUUUUUUAAUUACAUUUUUUUUUAUACUUAUAUACUUACACACUGUAUACUUAUCUAGACCAUUCUUAAAUUAAAAUAC